rnacentral:rRNA from 1 species
UACGUAGGGGGCUAGCGUUGUCCGGAAUCAUUGGGCGUAAAGCGCGUGUAGGCGGCUCGGUAAGUCUGCUCUGAAAGCCCGGGGCUCAACCCUGGGAGGCGGGUGGAUACUGCUGAGCUCGAGUCCGGAAGAGGCGAGUGGAAUUCCCGGUGUAGCGGUGAAAUGCGCAGAUAUCGGGAGGAACACCAAUGGCGAAGGCAGCUUGCUGGGACGGUACUGACGCUGAGACGCGAAAGCGUGGGGAGCAAACAGG